GUUCUACUCCCUCCGUUCCAUAUUAGUUGUUGUUGAAAUGGAUGUAUGUAGAUAUAUUUUAGUGCUAGAUACAUUCGUUUAAGCGACAACUAAUAUGAAACGGAGAGAGUAAUCG
rnacentral:pre_miRNA from 1 species